ensembl:lncRNA
UGGACUGGGAGAUCUGUGGACUGGGAGAUCUGUGGACUGGGAGAUCUGUGGACUGGGAGAUCUGUGGACUGGGAGAUCUGUGGACUGGGAGAUCUGUGGCUAAAUCAAGUGCGACCUACUGCGCUGACCAAUUUGAUAGCUCACCUUGCCUACAGCUUCCCCGGCCACAGAAAAGUUUGUAGCCUACGUGAGAUUUUCAUAACUUUUAAAACCAUGACCAGAGAGACACUGUCAAAGAAUAUAGCAAAGAGCUGCUGUUGAUAAGAGUGUUAUUGUCAUGGAGGGAACACCCGUGGAGGUGCUUGGCGUCCCUGACGAUAUCCUUGCCUCUGUUAGAAGGGUUGACAAGCUCACAAUACACUUCCAACGACCAGGGAACGGGGGAGGAGAGUUAAAGAGAGUACAGUUUCCAUCCUACAGCCCAGGACAGGCCUUCGUCAUGUUUGAGGAUCCAGAAGUGGCUGCACGUGUGUUGCAGCGGACCCAUGUCUUAGAAGUGGAUGGACAACACUUUCCUCUUAAAAUCAGGAACGCUGACACGCCUGAGGUGGACGUGCCAGUCAAGGCCGAUCUGGAGGUGAGCAUGUUCUCCAAGGACAGCGAGGAGGUGCUCCAGCCUGUGAACGAGAUUCCCCAGCUACCCAUUCAGGGCUCCUUUCAGAAGUUCACUGCAGUGAAGGCCCAACUGCAGCAGGUCUUACCCCAGGACACAAACACCCUGCGCCACAGCAGCCCUUCGCCAUCCAGUCUCAAUAGCCAUGCCUCUGGGGCCAUUUCCAAAUCCUCAAUCCGCUGCAACCCAUUUCCCAGCCCGCAAGCAACAGGGUAUGUUGGGGACAACUUGACCCAUAUGAGGAACACAUCCCCCAAACCAGUGGAACCCAUCUCCCAGACCCCAUCUUGCAGUGAGGUCUUCUUCAUAACGGACGCAGAUGUGCUCCGUUAUGCCCAGUGCGUCAGGAAAAAGGACAUUGAUUCCAUUCUUGGAGGCCACGCAACUCAAAUGGAUGUUAAGCCAGCUGAAGAUUCAGACCUCCGCUAUGUUUUCCUUGAAGGGAAGAGUCCAGAGCGGGUUAUGGAAAAGCUGCAGGUUUUUCUCAACAAGCUUCAUUUAAGACUACGAACUCAAGAAAUCCCACUAUGGACACUCGAUAGCGACCGACAGGUUCGAAUUCAUGAACUGGUUCAGAAGUAUAAUAUAAUUUAUCCUACUGUCCUCGUCAAUCAUGUUGGAGAUCUCCUCCGCCUUGUAGGACCUUCCAAGGAAAGUUAUGAGAUGAAGCAGAGGCUCCUGGGAAAACCCAUACUGCUACCAGCUGGGCUAACUGGGAGGGUAGUGGACAGCAGUACCCAUGGUGCUCCCAUCCCAUGGGCUCCUGGCCCCGUACCUGACCCCGUGUCUGCUACUGCACCAGAUUACUAGUAAAUGAACUACAUUUUGCAGUAGCUUGGUGAUAGUGGAACUAAAUUCAAAUCUAGAUAGUGUUUGCAGUAGUUCAUUACUUGUUGUCAUGUAGCAGUGUAGCUAACUACUGGAACUACACACUAUGUUUUAGCCGUGUAGCCAACUACUGGAACUACACACUAUGUUUUAGCCGUGUAGCCAACUACUGGAACUACACACUACAUUUUUGGCUAAAAUAAGAUGAGUGAAGUAGGCCAUAAUUUCAAUUUUUGGGCAUCAGACCAACCCGUUUCUCACUUGAAACAUCGUUUUUGUGUUUAGGCUAAAUUACACAUUCUGUUAAUAUAUGACCCUAAAGUGAUCUCUUCUUGCAAUUUGUAGUCUGACAUUUCAGAUUUAGCCAUGAUCUGUUUUCACAAAGUAGUUUGGAUGUAGUGAACUACUUUUCAAAAUAACUGUAGUUAAGUAAACUAUUUUUCUUAACUUCUUCCAGUGUGAGGUAAAUGGUAGCUUGCUAAACUGUCUUUUCUGAGUAGCUUUCCCAACACAGAAAAAUACCAGGGUGAGCCUGGCUCCCGUUCAUCCCAGGCAAAUCUAUUCUCUGUCCUGGUACCCAAAUGGUGGAACAAGCUUCCAGUUCCCCCUAAAAUCAGGACACUGCCCAUCUUCUGAAAACCCACCUCUUCAGUAUCUUUAACUAACACCCUUGUUGACACUGGCACUACCACUACUCUUUUCUUACUAGCUUUGAUCAGUUAUUGAGGAAAAAUGUACUGACUAUGACGGUGAUAUGUGGUUGUCUCACCUAGCUAUCUUUAAGAUGGAUGCACAAACUGUGCAGUGACUCUGGAUAAGAGAGUCUGCUGAAUGACAAAAAUGUAAUGUUUAAUGAACAUGGAAGGGUUGUAACAAGGGGCUACAGUAGGCGCUGUGCCCUCUACACCCAGAAGUCACUCUGAUUCCCCAGCUAAAAUAAAAGAGCAUAGAGUUACACGGGAGGUCUUGAGGCCAGUAAGGGCGGAUGAUGUGUUGGUGCCCUCUGCUGGAACUCAAAUGCCAGUGUUGAAAAAUAAGUCAUUACUUCCAGAAAGUCCUACUAACACAAUAGAAUGGAAGAAUGUGCUUUCAAGCAAGAAGAAGCCCCUAACAGGUUACUAGUUUAGAUAGAGACACCUGUAAUGAAUGUGGCUUGGUCUGUUUAUUUCAUAAUAUGCUGUGGGGUAAAAAUGUUCAAUUCACAUGUAUACACAUUUGGUUUUGUAAGGUUUUUUCUUGGACAAAUUGAUUUCUGUAUUUUCUAAUAUUUUCUUUCUCGUGAUACGAAUCUAUUCUAAAUGUGGUUUAUUUUUGUUUUGAGGGAUUGAGGGCAAUAAAAAUAUAUUAUAAUUGUGUAAAUUGAUCCUUUAACUAUAUGCUGAUGUAAAGGCUGGUAACUAUACUCUAGGGGUGGACUUUGUUAAUCUACUGUAUCUGUUUUGAUUAUGUGGAGCAAUUAUUUAGAGAUGAUCUCAUCUUUUUUUGUGUGGAAACUGUUCCUGAAAUGUGGUAAUUUAAACUCCUCACACACAAGACUAAAAUCAACACAUCAUGCUGUAGUUUGACAAUUCCUUUCGACUUGUCAUUGUCUCCACGUUUCUCGUCAAUCAGUUACUAUGGCAGUCUGUUACUGUGGCAGUCUG